rnacentral:tRNA from 1 species
GCCGACGUGGCUAAGGGGUAUAGCGGCGCCUUGGUAAGGCGCAGGUCGCGGGUCCGAUUCCCGUCGUCGGCU